AGAUGUAGAAACACAAUACAGAUGUAGAACCACAAUGUAGAUGUAGAAACACAAUGCAGACGUAUGUAGAAACAAAUCAGCUGCUCUGUAACAUUUUAAUGUCUGUCACUAGAGUCUAUCUACCGUAGAAUCCUAUCACAGGUUCUAUUAGAAAAGGGGAGCUGUAUAAGAAGAAUGAUAAAACAUCAGAGAAAUCCUGUUUUCCCCACUGUAACCAGGUAACAGAGGUUUCCUGGACCAUCACUGGUAAAGGCUCUGAGUUGAACCACAACCAGUGUCCCGGUGUUGGGGACACGUUUAACCCCUUCAACAUGGAAGCUGGGAACUCCAGUUGUUCCCGUGACAACGCUCUGAGUUGUGAGGUGGGAGACCUGACGACCAGACAGGGGACACUCAGCCUGACACACAGACAGCUUUACACCGACACCAGCAUACAACUGGCUGGGGACUACACAGUGGUCCACAGGACCCUGGUCCUGAGGAGAGGCAGUGAUGUCUUGGCGUGUGCCGUCAUUCUUCCAGAAUCCCCCUGGGCAGAGCAGACCUUCCCCAACGUCAUGUCUUUCAGCAGAUUUGACUUCCGCAGUAGGGUGGCAGAUGUCCUAGAGGUGAACAUGUCCAGGGUCACCAUCCUUCCAGGGUCUCCUCUGGCCACAGUGGACGGACCGUGCCAGAAAGUCAGCUUCCUUGUCUCAGGGGAGGUGAGUACGGACAAGAUGAACUCUAUCAAAGACAGUGAGAAGAUGGGCAUCUUCAAGCAGACAGAAGGUUGCUCAAGAAGUUCUGGACAACUGCUGGAGCCUGGGAGAUAUCUGGUGAUGUUGACGAUAGCUGCAGCCUACUUCCUACACUCUCUGAUCCAGCAGUAG
rnacentral:lncRNA from 1 species